UCCUGCCACUUCAGCUCCUCUCAAAUCGAAGGGCUUCCCGGAUUGAAGCAAAAUUACAAUACAUACAGCGAUGGACAGCCAGACAGACAGAGGCUCAAAUGGAGGAUUCCACCACCGUGCCUUAGACAUGCCAACAAACCUUACACAAAAUCUGAAUCUGGAAAUCCCAGACAAGCUGUGAGGAAGUGCUGAUUCAACUAACGCACAUCUCAGCAAGAGGAACCAAUGUGGGACGAAGACAAUAACUGUCACAAUCGCUGUCGUCAUGGAAAUGACCGGACCAAGGUGCAGCAUGGUGAGCGUACAUUUUUUUGAUUGAUAAAUGUUGCCAACAAAACAAAGAACAAAGAAACGACCGUGAAGCUUACUUAGGCUAUAAUGCCACUAACAAAGACAACUACCCACCAUUACAAAAGGAAAAAAGGCUGCCAAAGUAUGAUUCCCAAUCAGAGACAACGAUAGACAGCUGUCCCUGAUUGAGAACCAUACCCGGCCGAAACAAAGAAAAUAUAGUUUCCCACCCGAGUCACACCCUGACCAACCAAACAUAGAGAAUAAAAAGAUCUCUACGGUCAGGGCGUGACAAUAACAAUGUUCUACGUUCUCUGCUCUCUCCCUCACUAUUUCUCUUUCUCAAUCUCUCCUUCUCCCCCUCACCCUCUCUCUCUCCUCAUCUCCUUCUCCCCCUCACCCUCUCUCUCUCCUCAUCUCCUUCUCCCCCUCACCCUCUCUCUCUCCUCAUCUCCUUCUCCCCCUCACCCUCUCUCUCUCCUCAUCUCCUUCUCUCCCCUCACCCUCUCUCUCUCCUCAUCUCCUUCUCCCCCUCACCUUCUCUCUCUCCUCAUCUCCUUCUCCCCCUCACCCUCUCUCUCUCCUCAUCUCCUUCUCCCCCUCACCCUCUCUCUCUCCUCAUCUCCUUCUCCCCCUCACCCUCUCUCUCUCCUCAUCUCCUUCUCCCCCUCACCCUCUCUCUCUCCUCAUCUCCUUCUCCCUAUUGUGAACAUUGCCACACAGAUCAAGGUACUGUCAAACCUGAAUCCCCAAACAUACACUUUCAUCAUAUGGAACCUUUCCACUGUUCAGCAAUUAAAAUCUCUCUUUAAACAAGUUUGGUUCUAGAUGGUCUUACGCCCUCAAACUGCUGUGAAUUCCAUGAGAAUGUCUGAGUUUCAAUACAGCCAAAACCUGCAUCUCUGUUAAAAACAAACAAAAUUACACACUCAAGGGUGUCAUCCAUCGAUCACACACAGGAAGAAGGGAGAGGUGGUUCCACUCCAGUGAAACAUUGUUCCCCCUGCUGCGGUCUUGGUUUGCGCCAGGUGUUGCUUGAGAAAAUAGAUUUGAUCUCAAUGAGGUUACCCAGAUAAAUAAAUGUUCAAAAAAGGAGCUCAUGUGCUGCUCAACAGGACUCAGUCCUUAGAAAUACUAGCCUCCCUCCACUGCUCAGUCGAAGGUGUAAAACAUAGGGUGAGUUUAUGGGUUUAUAAGGCACAGCGUGAUCAAAACAACAGUGGAGGGACUUUUACUCUAAAACAUUCUAUAUAUCCUCUGAGCUCGGUAUUGUUUCUCCAUCUCCACUGGGCUGCUCUUUAAAGACAGGCUCUAAUUACUUUUAUAGGGCUGGGGAGUUAGGCUGUAACUCAGAUUAAGUGGAUGUUGCACUUGAUCUGAGUUAAAGCUAAAGGGCAGCUCUCUAUAGCUUUGAAAGGCCAGCGGCAUACACAGACCUCUCUGAAUGGCUGCAUAGUGAGCAAUCUCUUUUCUUUUCUACCCAUUAUUGUAAAUGUGCAAUAUGAAAUGUGGAAUGGCUGUCUAUUGUGACAGCCUCGGUGUUUGCCUUGUCUGUAUGCACGUUCUGCAUCCAAUGUUCUUUCAGAGAAUAAAAGGAACCACACAGUAUUGUUCUUCCAAUAAUUGGUGUCUUAUAAUGUCUCUUGUUCGAAUCACCGAGCCGGCAAGGUGGAACAAUCUGCCGUUCUGCCCUUGAGCAAGGCAGUUAACCCCAACAAGAACUGCUCCCCAGGUCCUGAUGACCGGGACUUUGAUUAAGGCAGCCCCCCCCCCCCCCACCUCUCUGACGGGCUAAGCACCUGGCCAUGGAUUAACAGAAGGUUAGUGUGUGUGCUGCUUGCUUAGCGAGUACCACUUCCUCGUGAUUUGGCGAGUACCACUUCCUCGUGAUUUGGCGAGUACCACUUCCUCACACUGAGGCUCGAACCCUGGACAGGUGACCGCUCCUAUACAGUACAGAACUUUUGAUUGGUACUGUGCAUGUUUUAUAUACACAUAUAUAUACACGUGUAUAUAUAUACACGUGUAUAUGUAUACCCAUUCCAGGGUUUUUCUUUAUUUUUACUAUUUUCUACAUUGUAGAAUAUUAGUGAGGACAUCAAAACUAUUAAACAUAUGGAAUCAUAUAGUAUCCAAAAAGGUGUUAAACAAAUCAAAAUAUAACAAAUCAAAAUUUGCAUUUUAGAUUAUUCAAGGUAGCCACCAUUAGCCUUGAUGACAGCUUUGCAUACUAUUGACAUUCUCUCAAACAGCUUCAUGAGGUAGUCACCUGGAAUGCAUUUCAAUUAACAGGUGUGCCUUGUUAAAAGUUCAUUUGGGGAAUUUCUUUCCUUCUAAAUGCGUUUGAGACAAUUAGUGGUAGGGUAGAGCUGGUAUACAGAAGAUAGCCCUAUUUGGUAAAAGAUAGCCCUAUUUGGUAGAAGUCCAUAUUAUGGCAAGAACAGUUCAAAUGAGCAAAGAGAAGUUUGGUGUUGCUUAUCAGGCCUACCACUGUUGUCAUCAGCAAACUUGAUGAUUGAGUUGGAGUCGUGCAUGGCCACACAGUCAUGGGUGAACAGGUAGUACUGGAGCGGGCUGAGCACGCACCCCUGUCGGGCCCCAGUGUUCAGGACCAGUGUGGUGGUGGAAUCAAGAAACAGAGGCCCUUUAGAGUAAUUGCAUUAUGACAAACUGUAUUGUGUGUGAUUUCCAGAUGAUAGAAGGGAAGAGAUCCAUUGCAGGCAACAAGUUUUGGCUCCCAUCUGGACAGAUCUUUAGUCAGUUGGCUCCAGUGCAAGACGAGGGAUAUGGAAAGCACUACAUCACAGCGAAAGAUGAGCCAGAGCUAUACAAAGACAACUACACACAUUUACCAAAGAGAAUCAACCUUGAUGGAUGGGGAUAUUAAGAGAGCAAAGAGAUAUUUGCGACAGAUAUGGUUUGACAUUUCUCUUUCCGACAUUGGAAACAAGUUCCACAGACAAACGACUACUGAUUCUUUUUGUGUCUUCCGGUUUGGAAUCCACAGUGGUGAGAUCGUGGCUCAUCAUCGGUUUGGAAUCCACCGUGCUGAGAUCUUGGGUUAUCAUCGGUUUGGAAUCCACAAUGGUGAGAUCUUGGGUUAUUAUUGGUUUGGAAUCCACGGUGGUGAGAUCUUGGGUCAUCAUCGGUUUGGAAUCCACAGUUGUGAGAUCUUGGGUUAUCAUCAGUUUGGAAUCCACGGUGCUGAGAUCUUGGGUUAUCAUCACUGCUUAGGUUUAUCCAGUACAAUGGUCACAAGUCAAAUGUGCAAUCUCUGACACAGAUUAAUCAGUAUUGUAAAGAAAAAACGUGUCUGUCAAAUCAUACAUUAAUCUUGGAACUACCCAUCCCGGAUCCGGGAGAAUUGUCAUCAACUGACACUAAUUAGCAUAACGCAACGGACAAAAAAUAUUACUAGAAAAUAUUCAUAUUCAUGAAAUCACAAGUGAAAUAUAGUGAAACAGACAGCAAAUGUUCAUUUUGUUCCAUAAAGAUUAUUUUUAUAGCCGAAAUACCUCCGUUUGUUCUUCACGUUUGGUUGAGAAAUCCACCGGAAACUGCGGUCACGACAACGCCAAAAAAUAUUCCAAAUUAGAUCCAUAAUAUCGACAGAAACAUGGCAAACAUUUUUUAUAAUCAAUCCUCAAGGUGUUUUUCAAAUAUCUAUUUGAUUAAUAUGCCAACCGGGUCAGUUGGCUUCUUAGUAGGAGCGAGAGAAUCAAUGGCCGCAUUUGUCUAUUACGCAGAAAUCUGAGAGCCACCAGCUGACCACUGACGCAAUGUUGUCGCUCAUGAUCAUUUUUCAAAAUAAAAGCCUGAAACUAUGUCUUGUGACACUAGACACAUUAGGGAAGCCAUAGAAAAAGGAAUUUGGUUAAUAUCCCUUUCACUGUUCAAUAGGGAUGCAUAGGAACGCAGAGGUUUCUAAAUAAGAGUCACUUCCUAAUUGGAUUUUUAUCAGGCUUUCGCCUGCAAUAUCAGUUCUGUUAUACUCACAGACAAUAUUUUUACAGUUUUGGAAACUUUAGAGUGUUUUCUAUCCUAAGCUGUCAAUUAUAUGCAUAUUCUAUUAUCUGGUCCUGAGAAAUAGCCCGUUUAAUUUGGGAACGUUAUUUUUCCAAAAAUGAAAAUAGUGCCCCCUAGUUUCAAGAGGUUAAAAAUAUAAACUUCACCCUGGUAAUUGCUGGAGUAUGUGUAUUGAAGCCAUUAGAGUACAAUCAUUCCUUCCUAGACGACUCAGAGCCAAGCUGAAGGAGGGGACAGUAGAUUGCCCAGCUAGAGUGAGUUAUUCUAGGAGGGAAGGAGAGAAAAUUGGCCUCAUUUCUGUGGCGAACCUUAAGCUGCACAAUCCACAGACAGCACAUAGCUACCUCUGUGCCAAAUAAGCACUCUAUAGGCACUGUUUCCUCCUAGCUCAGACAAACACAACCAUAACUAUUGGGUACAGUGCUAUAUAGUUUACAACUCAGAUAACUGUCACUGUCUUUUCUCCUCCAUCCACAAAACCUCUGUAUAAGUACUGUAUGGUGCCAGGACAACAACCUCUCCCUCAAUGUGAUCAAGACAAAGGGGAUGAUUGUGGACUACAGGAAAAAGAGGACCGAGCACGCCUCCAUUCUCAUCGACAAGGUUGCAGUGGAGCAGGUUGAGAGCUUCAAGUUCCUUGGUGUCCACAUCACCAACAAACUAACAUGGUCCAAGCACACCAAGACAGUCAUGAAGAGGGCACGACAAAACCUAUUUCCCCUCAGGAGACUGAAAAGAUUUGGCAUGGGUCCUCAGAUCCCCAAAAGGUUUUACUGCUGCACCAUCGAGAGCAUCCUGACUGGUUGCAUCAUGCCUGGUAUCGCAACUCCAGUUAUCAUCUAUGCAUAGUCACAUUAAUAACUCUACCUACAUGUACAUAUUACCUCAAUUAUCUCGACUAACCGUUGCCCCCGCACAUUGACUUUGUACCGGUACCCCCCUGUAUAUAGUCUCACUAUUGUUAUUUUACUGCUGCUCUUUAAAUACUUGUUACUUAUAUUUCUUAUUCGUAAUUCAUUUACAGUGCCUUGCGAAAGUAUUCGGCCCCCUUGAACUUUGCGACCUUUUGCCACAUUUCAGGCUAUAAUUUUGCACGCCCAAUUUUUCAGUUUUUGAUUUGUUAAAAAAGUUUGCAAUAUCCAAUAAAUGUCGUUCCACUUCAUGAUUGUGUCCAACUUGUUGUUGAUUCUUCACAAAAAAAUACAGUUUUAUAUCUUUAUGUUUGAAGCCUGAAAUGUGGCAAAAGGUCGCAAAUUUCAAGGGGGCCGAAUACUUUCGCAAGGCACUGUAUAUAUAUUUUUUUGUUAACUGCAUUGUUGGUUAGGGGCUCGUAAGUAAGCGUUUCACUGUAAGGUGAAACACCUGUGGUAUUUGGCGCAUGUGACUAAUACAAUUUGAUUUGAUUUGUAUUUCUCAGUUCCCUGAAAGAGAGAAAGCAGUCACAAGUCACAACAGAGAUAAUGAUCAACAUUUGCAGCAAUAGAACUCUACUCAGUAUGUGGAUUUCUCCCAUUGCUUUCCAUUCUUCUGGCCUCAAUAGGUGUUCCAAUGAAACAUGCAUCAGUUUCCUGGGGUCAUGAUGCUUGCCUUUUGAUUUGGAGUCAGUGUUUAUGGACGAAAUGGCACUACGUGACUGGGAUUGAGGAUUAUGAGGAGACGAGGGCCAAUCCACAGGAAAGUUAUUGGAAUUGUGUUUUUAAUGCACUCACUAAAAUACAGGGAGACAGUGUAUAAAGAGGAAUACACUAGUUGUUGAGCUCUAGUAUAGUGUCCCCCCUGAGAGGGGUUGGGUGUUAUGGAAGAUCUAACUGGGAUAAGAUGGAGGUUCUCUGAGACACAGAGACCAAUGCCUAAUACAUAACACAAUCAGACUACUGGGUGUUCUGCAGCGAUCUGGGUGUUAUCUCCUACAACAGGGUUUCCUAACUCCGGUCCUCCAGUACCUCCAACAAAACACAUUUUAGUUGUUGCCACAGACAAAAACACCGGAUUCAACUUGUCAAGGGCUUGGUGAUUAGUUGACAAGUUGAAUCAGGUGUGCUUGUCCGGGGCCAUGACAAAAAUGUGUACUGUUGGGGGUACUCGAGGACCGGAGUUGAGAAACUAGGGCUAUCCCGACUAAAAAAAAUCUGUUCCUGUUCUUUCAACCAAUCGAUUGGUCGAAAUGUUUAAAGUUAUUUUUCCAUAGAUAGACAAACACACCCUGUGUGUUUAAUAAAAUCAACUGCAUAUGCACUGAGCUUGUCUGAUGCUUUAAGCAGACUGUUUGAUUAAAUAAUUAAGACACACAAAUGACUCAAUAAAAACCCAGAUGGUCAUACUGUGUUAAAAAAAUGACAGCGAGUGCCUGUGUGACUGGCGCACGUUAUCUCGCUCUUCUCCCUACUGCUGCGAAAAGGCACCACAGCACAGAAAGUAUUUAUUGCGCUGUCCGUGCCGAAGCAUUUCAGCCAAUAUUAGUUUCUUACUUGUUUCUGACUGAAAAGUUAUGUUACUGAAAUCCCUAAUUUGUUUAGGAAAAACGUUCCCUAUUCCCUCAACCCUUGCUCUCUUUUUGUGAAACAUGUAGAGUACCAGUCAAAAGUGUAGACACACCUACUCAUGAAAUAAUACAUAUGGAAUCAUGUAGUAACCAAAGAAGUGUUAAACAAAUCAAAAUAUAUUUUAGAUUCUUCAAAGUAGCCACCCUUUGCCUUGAUGACAACUUGGCACACUCUUGGCAUUCUCUCAAACAGCUUCAUGAGGAAUGCUUUUCUAACCGUCUUGAAGGAGUUCCCACAUAUGCUGAGCACUUGUUGGCUGGUUUUCCUUCACUCCAUGGUCCAACUAUUUGUCACGCCCUGACCUUAGAGAGCCGUUUUAUUUCUCUAUGUGGUUAGGUCAGGGUGUGAUGUGUUUCUAUGUUUUGUUUUCUAUGUUUCUGCCGGGUAUGGUUCUCAAUCAGGGACAGCUAUCUAUCGUUGUCUCUGAUUGGGGAUCAUACUUAGGUAGCCCUUUUUCCCUCCUUUCAGUGUGGGUAGUUAUCUUUGUUAGUGGCACUUAGCCCUGUAAGCUUCACGGUUGUUUUUCGUUUCUUGUUUUGUUGGCGACAUUUUAAAUAAAAAGAGAUGUACGCUCACCACGCUGCACUUUGGUCCUCUUCUUUUGACGGCUGUGACACUAUUGUUUCUCUUUGCUUAUUUGAGCUGUUCUUGGCAUAAUAUGGACUUGGUCUUUUACCUAAGAAGGCUAUCGUCUCUAUAUCAUGUUACAACACAACUGAUUGUCCCAAACGCAUUAAGAAGGAAAGAAAUUCCAGAAAUGAACUUUUAACAAGGCACACCUAUUAAUGGAAAUGCAUUCCAGGUGACUACCUCAUGAAGAUGGUUGAGAGAAUUCCAAGAGUGUGCAGAGCUGUCAUCAAGGCAAAGGGUGGCUACUUUGAAGAAUCUCAAAUAUGAAAUAUAUUUUGAUUUGUUUAACACUUUUUUGGAUACUAUAUGAUUCCAUAUGUUUAAUAGUUUAUGUGCUCACUAUUAUUCUACAAUGUAGAAAAUUGUCAAAAUAAAGAAAAAUCCUGGAAUGAAUAGGUGUGUCCAAACUUUUGACUGAUAAAUAAGUGUACCAGAGAGUCUGUUCUAACAAUAAAGCCUUUAUAAUAGCAGACUAAAAACAGUUGCAUGCAUUUGUGAAUUGCAGUUUAUUUAUUGUUUGGGGCUAAUUAUUCAAAGCUCCCUUUGUUAUUUAAUUUUAAAACUAAAAUGCUUGAUUGCAUUUCAAAGCAUGCAUGUUUCGUAUGCUGUGUGAUGGCAUGAACGAAUGACUGAUUGAUUGAUUGAUACAGUUGCCUGAAUAGUGAAAUAGCCCUGUGGGAAACACUGUCCUACAGUGUUAACAUGACACAGUUCAUCAAAUCAAAUUGUAUUGGUCACAUGGCUGCCACUUGACAUUAUGUGAAUAUUGAUGUGUAUAGUGUGUAUUGAUGUGUAUUAAUGUGUAUUCAGGGCUCAUCUGUAAAAGAGAACAUGGUCUCAGCA